GUGCGCAGGCGCUAAGGAUACAUCCGGUGUGGCCAUCGGUUUCGCCAGGUGUUUGCGGAGGGCAGGCCGGAGGACCGAGUGUGUAGUCAUGUCGGCGUCGGUAGUGUCCGUCAUCUCGCGGUUCUUAGAAGAGUACUUGAGCUCCACUCCUCAGCGUCUGAAGUUGCUUGACGCGUACCUCCUUUACAUACUGCUGACCGGGGCGCUGCAGUUCGGUUAUUGCCUCCUCGUGGGGACCUUCCCCUUCAACUCUUUUCUCUCGGGCUUCAUCUCUUGUGUGGGGAGCUUCAUCCUAGCGGUUUGCCUCAGGAUACAGAUCAACCCACAGAACAAAGCGGAUUUCCAAGGCAUCUCCCCAGAACGAGCUUUUGCUGAUUUUCUCUUUGCCAGCACCAUCCUGCACCUUGUCGUAAUGAACUUCGUUGGCUGAAUUACUUCCAUUUACUUAAUUGAGGAGUAGGAGGCUAGAAGAAUGUGAUUAGAGCAGACUGAUCAGAUGGCACUGUCUUUUCUGCAUGGGUGACAUAGACUGAAGAAGUCAUGCUAAUUUUUCUCAGUUCACUUUUUGCUUUCCCCUGGAUAAGAGCUUUUGAGAUGGCAACUUGGACACGUGGAUUUUCUUCCGAUUUAUACUCCCUACCGACUCUGAUUUGGAAUGUAGGUGGAGAGCCCAGAGAAGUUCCCUUGCUUCUGUGUUAGAGCAGUUUUGUAAUGAGCAUUUAUGAAGAUGGCCUCUACUUUCCAUUAAGUGGGACCUCCUUUUUGCCUUUCAAAUGAAUAAACUCCAUGCCACUCCUU